GAUGAACGCUGGCGGCGUGCCUAAUACAUGCAAGUCGAACGCGAGCAGCAAUGCUCGAGUGGCGAACGGGUGAGUAAUACAUAAGUAACCUGCCUUAAAGAGGGGGAUAACGUCUGGAAACGGACGCUAAUACCGCAUGACAUACGGACAUGGCAUCAUGAUCGUAUCAAAGGAGCAAUCCGCUUUAAGAUGGACUCGCGUCCAAUUAGCUAGUUGGUGAGGUAACGGCCCACCAAGGCGACGAUUGGUAGCCGGACUGAGAGGUUGAACGGCCACAUUGGGACUGAGACACGGCCCAG
rnacentral:rRNA from 1 species